rnacentral:rRNA from 1 species
AACAUGUCUUUUUGGUAAUAAUUUAAAGUCUAAUCUGCCCACUGAUAAUUUAUUAAAGGGCUGCAGUAUUUUGACUGUACAAAGGUAGCAUAAUCAUUAGUCUUUUAAUUGAAGACUUGUAUGAAGGAUUUGAUGAAAUAUAAACUGUCUCUAAGUUAUAAUUAGAAUUUAAUUUUUUAGUUAAAAAGCUAAAAUAAGUUUAAAAGACGAGAAGACCCUAUAGAGUUUUAUAUACUUUAUUUUAAAAUAUUUAUAUAAAAUUUUAAUGUUAUAAAUUAAAGUAUAUUAUAUUGGGGUGAUAAAAAAAUUAAAUAAACUUUUUUUAUAUAUUAAACAAUAAUAAAUGAUUAAAUGAUCCAUUAAUAAUGAUUAUAAGAAAAAAUUACCUUAGGGAUAACAGCGUAAUAUUUUUUUUUAGUACAAAUAAAAAAAAAAGUUUGCGACCUCGAUGUUGGAUUAAGAUAAAAUUUAAAUGCAAAAGUUUAAAAUUUUGAUCUGUUCGAUCAUUAAAAUCUUACAUGAUCUGAGCUCAAACCG